CACGUCUAGCAGGUUGAAGAGCUGCUGUCCGGAUUACCUGUCCGAAAUGUAGGUUUCCCUCAGGUAUUAGCUCGAGGAGGAUAUUUGUGAUGAUCUGAUUCUGAGUGAGUCUGAAAUGAACAGAGAAGCAGCGCGCGCGCACGCGCGACAUAGAGGGAGUUGCGCGCUCUGAGAAUGCGUUUUUGGUUUGGAAAGCCUUUGGCAAUGGCCGGAUAAAUGUCUCAUUUUUGACGUGCUUGGCUACACCUUGCGUUUUAUUCAUAAUAUGACAACAGACAGAAGUGUUCUGAACUGUAUUUAGACAGAAAUACCGCGUUGUGUUUGUUCAUCAAGAAGAAAAUUGCGCGCAAUGCGUAACAUGGAGCAGCUCCAGUGGAUCACAAGAAACAUGCGCAGCUAUUUUCCACACAGGGAUGGCAGAAUCGUGUCCAUAUGAUUGCCUCUCAGACUUGACAUUAGAGUCUUUGCAAACGUUUCUGGCUGAUGACGUGAAAUGACGCAGAACAAGACUGAAGAUCUGUCUUCAAAGGCAUUGCCUGCAUGUCAAGUUGGCCACUUCCCUUGGACAGGCAGCCAAGAGAUCAAGACCCAACAAUUACAGACCAUCUUUAUCAAGCCAAAGCACAAAAAUACAACAUCUUCCUGUGUUUUUCCAACCAAUGUGAGUAUUUUAAAGAGUCUGAAGCCCAUUUGGAGUAGCUCACUUCAGCCAGCUGCUGUCUGCCCUGUUAUAGCUCCCCCUAGCAGCUGCCUCCAUAUUUCCUUGUUCAUGCUAACCAUGAAAUCUAUUCUCACCCUAUACAGACACCAUUCCAAGACCUGUAAAAAUCCAUAUACUGGCAUGCAUUAGGUCCAAUGUACAUCCCAAUGAGCCCAUCCAUCCAUUAGUGGCCUGGCAAUUGGAAAACACAGCUCCUCUUACCUCUUAAGAUUGCUACCUCCUCUCCAAAGUCCCAAUCCCGACUGUACUUCUUCUUCCCAGCAAACACUGCAAAAGAGGCUCUUCCAUUUUAGCUCAAUAUGGAGGGGUGUUCAAACUGGACUAUACCAUUUAAACUGGUGUACAGAUGGCCCUGGGGCCUCAAAAAUGGCCCUUUGGCCACCAUAUAAUGCAAGUCUCCACUUGCUCCAUUGCAGAGGCAUAUAUGAACCCCUAUUGACCAGCCCCCUCCUCAAGCCACAGAUGACCUCCCCCAAUGAUAUUCAAAUAUUUCAGGCUUCCAACAGUCAGAUAGUCUAUACAGAGAGCCGACUGUCACUUCUGGAGGCAGCUGAGGGCGCAGACAGGCUCUAAACAGGCCAGCUGCCAAGCUCUGUCAUUGGGUACAACUGGUGCAAGCUAUUCAUGAGGGACUUUUUAUUAAAAUAAAGCUUUAAAUAAUUAAUUAAAGGUUAGAAUGAACCAAAUGGAUUAAAAUAGGGGAUUGAAAUAUGAGCCAUCUAUUGCAUAUGCUGGCACAGAGUUAAAAAGGACACCUUUCCAAUGGUGUCAAUAUGUUUCCAAAUAGGACACCUGUUCCUAGCAUUUAAAAAAAAGCUGCAAUGAGCCUUAAAAAUAAAUUUUAAGGUACAUUGAUCAACAGGUAUAUACGUAUGGAUUUGAGUCCAACCAGUGCUGAUUCAUUGUUUCAUAACAAUAUGAAAUGCCUCUUUAUCAUCAUUUCCGAUGGCAGACAUUUCCAAGUCACUUUUCCUUUAAAGUCAACAAAUAUGCUUUAAAAAGAGCUGUUUAAUUAUCUCUUUAAUGUAUGAACCAGCAUACUAUAACAAUAAUCAUCCAAUGAAAUGAGAAAUUAUAAACAGCCAGUUGAAUUUCUGAUCGUGCUUCAUAUCAUGCUGUAACUUGCAAGUAAUUUAUGUUUGUUCUAGACAUACUGACAGACAAAAGCAGGCCAUUUUGUCUGCAAAAUGGUGCAAACGCUGGAUAUGCAUUUUAAUUGUGAUGGUUAGAAUAUUCUGACAUCUCAAAAUAUAAUGUCUGCUAAAACUAAAAAUAACUCCCGUAGAAGUCAACAUUUGUCUGAGUGCACAGAGGUGUGAAGUCACAGGAUGAGUAUGUAAGGUCACAGCUGUUUCAAAGAAGUCAUCAGGGUUUUCAAAGACACAUUUUUAGACCUGUAACAAGCUUUUGUUUUUAUUUUUUUUUGUCUGUAAUUUAAUUUUUUGCUCUGUCUGGCUCACAUUUCUUAUAUUUGCAUAUUUAUCUGAUAAUUAAUGUAGUUUAGAAAUUUUGAAUGUCAAAUAGCCUACAAAGACUGCUAUAGUUUUUACCCAGUAGGGAGGUUUGUAUUUUAAAUAUAUUUUGUGCAUACAUCAUUUGUAAGCAUGAAUUUACUGCUUUAAAAUCGUUGUUCAUCUGAACAUUUAUUCAUAAUGUUAAACAUAUAUAAGACACUGCAAUUCAAAAGAGCCAAUAAAACACAGUGUAGUCAUCCUCUCAAUUUAAUCAAAUUAAGUCUACACAGUCUCGUGUUGUAGGCUACGUUCUUUUGUGAGUCCAGAAGUACACAGGUAAGUCUUACAACCCUCCAAAUCAGCUCAUACAUUAUUUAUUUAUUCAUUCAUUUUUUACAUGUAGAUGAAAACCUUGCGUGAUAUAUAAAACAAAAGCACCUGUAAAUUAAGAUGGUGGUGGUCCUACAGGCUAGCAAUUUUACCCCGUUCCUGAUUUUUAACUGGGUAAACUGGGGUUGUUACAACAAUCAUCGGUGCAGUAGCGGUGUAUACUUUAGCUUUAAGCAUGCUUAGAAACUAAACGGAACGAACUAAUAAAAACGCUUAACGGCGAUGCGCAAAAACUGAAGGAAAAAUGUCAGGCGCAGCAAACCAGAGAGCGCGGGUAUGAUGUUUUGAUAAAACAGAAAUUAUUGGGAACAUUUACAAUGCAUUGAGUCAUUUAAACAUUUAAAAUGCGCAUAGUAUCAGAGCGAACACUAUCCAACACACCAGUGUAGUAUUAUUUUCAGACAGGCAUCCGUUAACGGCCCCGACGCCACGCGUUGUUAUCCCAAACAACAAUAGUGCAGCAUCACGAGCCACGGCCUGGGAAGCAGCUAACUGAUCUAAUGCGAAACAUCGCGAAAUCGUCUGUAAAUGUUUGCUUGAUUAUUGAGUCUGAUAUGACGCCAAGAAUCAAGACAACAUAUAAAGGUAUGAUAAAAACAUAAAUAUCAAACCGAGACUCACAGACUGGCUUAAUGUUCAUGGGUUGCUUUCAGAGAUUUCUCGUUCGCCAGUAGGUUUACUUUUGAUGAACGUCAGGCCUAAUAUACAUAUAGCCUAUGUGUACCUACUUAACCAUAUUCAUUUUUAUAUAAUGAACUGGGUGCAUUUGUAUAAUAAAAAAACUGAGGUCAGACAUUAAUUAAAUCUUACACAUAAAUGCAAUAGCUAAACUUACCUGUAAGUCCAGGCAAGCAUGUUGAUUUAAAAGAGUCUUGCAUGAAAGAUUGUUUUACUAUUUUACGGCUUAUGUCUGAAAUGAAGAGUAAAAAAAAAGUUUAUGGCCAUACAAUACAGUUUUUUUUUUUUUUUUUUUUUUGUAAGUUUCUUCUUAUUACAAAACCUGCAGUAAUACAGUUAUUGUAAUAAUUGUAAUAUUGCCUAUUGGCAAUAAUCUGUCAGAUUACCAGAUGAACAAGAUAUAAGUGUUCAUUAACAGUCCCAGAGGGUGAUAGCAAGAUAUUAAAGUUUCUUAAAAUGUUUUUCUGUUAAGUAUCAAGUCUAAGAAUUUAUUAAUGCUUUAUAUUGAUUUAAAAUAAAAAACAUUUUGAAAGCUCCUGACUGAAACAACGCCUUUUCUACCACAUAAUGUUGUUAAUAAAGCCAAACCCUGGAUAAGCUUAUAUUCAACACCAGAUUAUAGUAGUAAUCACAGAGCUGUGUAACACUUUCAAUAUUAUAAUGCUGAGAUAAAAUACAUUUUUUAUAAUACAUAUUAUGACACUUGAAAUACUGAGCUGUGAAAUGCCAAAUAAAGCCUGUUCCACCUUA